rnacentral:rRNA from 1 species
UACGUAGGGCGCAAGCGUUAUCCGGAAUUAUUGGGCGUAAAGAGCUCGUAGGCGGUUUGUCGCGUCUGCUGUGAAAACCUAGGGCUUAACUCUGGGCGUGCAGUGGGUACGGGCAGGCUAGAGUGCGGUAGGGGAGACUGGAAUUCCUGGUGUAGCGGUGAAAUGCGCAGAUAUCAGGAGGAACACCGGUGGCGAAGGCGGGUCUCUGGGCCGUAACUGACGCUGAGGAGCGAAAGCAUGGGGAGCGAACAGG